AUUGAACGCUGGCGGCAUGCUUUACACAUGCAAGUCGAACGGCAGCGCGGGCUUCGGCCUGGCGGCGAGUGGCGAACGGGUGAGUAAUGCAUCGGAACGUGCCCAGUAGUGGGGGAUAGCCCGGCGAUAGCCGGAUUAAUACCGCAUACGACCUGAGGGUGAAAGCGGGGGACCGAAAGGCCUCGCGCUAUUGGAGCGGCCGAUGUCGGAUUAGCUAGUUGGUGGGGUAAAGGCUUACCAAGGCGACGAUCCGUAGCUGGUCUGAGAGGACGACCAGCCACACUGGGACUGAGACACGGCCCAGACUCCUACGGGAGGCAGCAGUGGGGAAUUUUGGACAAUGGGGGCAACCCUGAUCCAGCCAUGCCGCGUGCGGGAAGAAGGCCUUCGGGUUGUAAACCGCUUUUGUUCGGGAAGAAAUCCUCUGGGCUAAUACCCCGGGGGGAUGACGGUACCGGAAGAAUAAGCACCGGCUAACUACGUG
rnacentral:rRNA from 1 species